AUCUGAUACCUUCUUCUGGCUUCCAUGGUCUCAGACCUGUGGAGAGUCAGCAUAACAGAGCAGUGGGUGCCCAGACCGUCCUGGCUCCUGGAGCUGCCCCAUUUCUGGGACACACAUAAAUCACGUUGAGUCGCCUAGGGCAGGAAGACCUACAGCCAGAACGCGGGGCACAUCUGAGGAGACACAGGCAGAGCCAGAGCUGGGGCCAAGCCGGGGAGAUGUGCAGGCACAGAUCAUUGGCUCUGACAUUUCAAGGCUUGGGCCUAUUAAUUUUUUAUGUUGCGCUACUUGUAUAUCGUUAAUA